UACGAAGGGGACUAGCGUUGUUCGGAAUUACUGGGCGUAAAGCGCACGUAGGCGGAUUUGUAAGUCAGGGGUGAAAUCCCGGGGCUCAACCUCGGAACUGCCUUUGAUACUGCAAAUCUCGAGUCCGAUAGAGGUGGGUGGAAUUCCUAGUGUAGAGGUGAAAUUCGUAGAUAUUAGGAAGAACACCGGUGGCGAAGGCGGCCCACUGGAUCGGUACUGACGCUGAGGUGCGAAAGCGUGGGGGAGCAAACAGGG
rnacentral:rRNA from 1 species